rnacentral:tRNA from 1 species
AGCUUCGUGGUGCUUAGCACAUUAGAUUGCAAAUCUGAAAGCGUGGGCUAACUGCCUGCCGGGGCUU